rnacentral:rRNA from 1 species
AUUGAACGCUGGCGGCAUGCCUUACACAUGCAAGUCGAACGGCAGCACGGGAGCAAUCCUGGUGGCGAGUGGCGAACGGGUGAGUAAAGUAUCGGAACGUGCCCAGUCGUGGGGGAUAACGUAGCGAAAGUUACGCUAAUACCGCAUACGAUCUAUGGAUGAAAGCGGGGGAUCGCAAGACCUCGCGCGAUUGGAGCGGCCGAUAUCAGAUUAGGUAGUUGGUGGGGUAAAGGCUCACCAAGCCGACGAUCUGUAGCGGGUCUGAGAGGACGACCAGCCCCACUGGGACUGAGACACGGCCCAGACUCCUACGGGAGGCAGCAGUGGGGAAUUUUGGACAAUGGGCGCAAGCCUGAUCCAGCCAUGCCGCGUGCAGGAUGAAGGCCUUCGGGUUGUAAACUGCUUUUGUACGGAACGAAAAGGUUUGACUUAAUACGUUGGACUCAUGACGGUACCGUAAGAAUAAGCACCGGCUAACUACGUGCCAGCCGCCGCGGUAA